CCUACGGGCGGCAGCAGUGAGGAAUAUUGGUCAAUGGUCGGGAGACUGAACCAGCCAAGCCGCGUGAGGGAGGAAGGUACAGAGUAUCGUAAACCUCUUUUGUCAGGGAACAAAGGCGGGGACGUGUCCCCGGAUGAGUGUACCUGAAGAAAAAGCAUCGGCUAACUCCGUGCCAGCAGCCGCGGUAAUACGGAGGAUGCGAGCGUUAUCCGGAUUUAUGGGGGUUAAAGGGUGCGCAGGCGGUCUGUUAAGUCAGCGGUCAAAGCCCGGGGCUCAACCCCGGCCCGCCGUUGAAACUGGCAGUCUCGAGUUGGAGAGAAGUAUGCGGAAUGCGCGGUGUAGCGGUGAAAUGCAUAGAUAUCGCGCAGAACUCCGAUUGCGAAGGCAGCAUGCCGGCUCCACACUGACGCUGAGGCACGAAAGCGUGGGUAUCGAACAGGAUUAGAUACCCGUGUAGUC
rnacentral:rRNA from 1 species